rnacentral:rRNA from 1 species
GAUGAACGCUGGCGGCGUGCCUAAUACAUGCAAGUCGAACGAGGCCCUUUGUAUUCGUACGAAGGUGUCCUAGUGGCGAACGGGUGAGUAACACGUAGGUGACCUGCCCCGAAGCGGGGGACAACUCCGGGAAACUGGAGCUAAUACCCCAUGUUCUCUAUGGUGUUAGAGGACCAUGGAGCAAAGGAGCAAUCCACUUUGGGAGGGGCCUGCGGCCCAUCAGCUAGUUGGUAGGGUAAUGGCCUACCAAGGCUAUGACGGGUUGGGGACCUGAGAGGGUGGUCCCCCACACUGGAACUGAAACACGGACCAGACACCUACGGGUGGCAGCAGUAGGGAAUAUUGCACAAUGGGCGAAAGCCUGAUGCAGCAACGCCGCGUGCGCGAUGAAGGCCUUCGGGUUGUAAAGCGCUUUUCUGGGGGAAGAGGAA